CCCGCACAAGCGGUGGAGCAUGUGGUUUAAUUCGAUGCAACGCGAAGAACCUUACCUGGAUUUGACAUGCACGUAGUAGUGAACCGAAAGGGAACGAGCCUUCGGGCAGCGUGCACAGGUGCUGCAUGGCUGUCGUCAGCUCGUGCCGUGAGGUGUUGGGUUAAGUCCCGCAACGAGCGCAACCCUCGUCGCUAGUUACAUGUGUCUAGCGAGACUGCCAGGUUAACCCUGGAGGAAGUGGGGAUGACGUCAAGUCAGCAUGGCCUUUAUGUCCAGGGCUACACACACGCUACAAUGGUCGGUACAAUGGGAUGCCAAGCCGCGAGGCGGAGCAAAUCCUCAAAGCCGGCCUCAGUUCGGAUUGGAGGCUGCAACUCGCCUCCAUGAAGUCGGAGUUGCUAGUAACCGCAGGUCAGCUAUACUGCGGUGAAUACGUUCCCGGGCCUU
rnacentral:rRNA from 1 species